AGAGUUUGAUCCUGGCUCAGGAUAAACGCUGGCGGCGUGCUUAACACAUGCAAGUCGAGUGCGCACCUGUAGCAAUACAGGUGGCGCACGGCGCACGGGUGCGUAACACGUGGGUAAUCUGCCCUUCGAAGGGGAAUAACUCGCCGAAAGGCGAGCUAAUUCCGCAUAACAUUCCAAGAGCUUCGGUUUUUGGACUCAAAGGCGUAAGUCGUUCGGAGGAGGAGCCCGCGCACGAUUAGCUAGUUGGUGGGGUAAUGGCCCACCAAGGCUAUGAUCGUUAGCUGGUCUGAGAGGAUGGCCAGCCACACUGGAACUGAGACACGGUGCAGACUCCUACGGGAGGCAGCAGUGGGAAUCUGCACAAUGGGCGAAAGCUGAUGCAGCGACUCCGCGUGGGGAUGAAGCUCUCGGAGUGUAACCCCUUCAACCGGACGANACCUCCA
rnacentral:rRNA from 1 species